rnacentral:rRNA from 1 species
UACGGAAGGCAGCAGUGGGGAAUAUUGCACAAUGGGCGCAAGCCUGAUGCAGCCAUGCCGCGUGUAUGAAGAAGGCCUUCGGGUUGUAAAGUACUUUCAGUCGUGAGGAAGGUGUUAAGGUUAAUAACCUUAGCAAUUGACGUUAGCGACAGAAGAAGCACCGGCUAACUCCGUGCCAGCAGCCGCGGUAAUACGGAGGGUGCGAGCGUUAAUCGGAAUUACUGGGCGUAAAGGGCACGCAGGCGGUUAAUUAAGUUGGAUGUGAAAUCCCCGGGCUUAACCUGGGAAUGGCAUUCAAGACUGGUUAGCUAGAGUCUUGUAGAGGGGGUAGAAUUCCAUGUGUAGCGGUGAAAUGCGUAGAGAUGUGGAGGAAUACCGGUGGCGAAGGCGGCCCCUGGGACAAAGACUGACGCUCAUGUGCGAAAGCGUGGGGAGCAAACGAGGGAUUAGAUA